rnacentral:sRNA from 1 species
AUUUUUUUUGAAUAUCUGGAAAUUCAAACUCAAAGACCUUACAUUUUCUAGAGGCGGGAUCCACACCAGAUUAAAUUCAUAUCCUUUGGGAAAGAAAUCUCUUCCAACAUGCCUCAAACCCAGUAUUUCUAACUGAGAGAUUUACCUACAUAAUUCAACAAUCAUGUCUAUUAUGUUUUCAAUUUAGGA